UUGAACGCUGGCGGCAGGCCUAACACAUGCAAGUCGAGCGGUAGCACAGAGAGCUUGCUCUCGGGUGACGAGCGGCGGACGGGUGAGUAAUGUCUGGGAAACUGCCUGAUGGAGGGGGAUAACUACUGGAAACGGUAGCUAAUACCGCAUAACGUCGCAAGACCAAAGUGGGGGACCUUCGGGCCUCAUGCCAUCAGAUGUGCCCAGAUGGGAUUAGCUAGUAGGUGGGGUAACGGCUCACCUAGGCGACGAUCCCUAGCUGGUCUGAGAGGAUGGCCAGCCACACUGGAACUGAGACACGGUCCAGACUCCUACGGGAGGCAGCAGUGGGGAAUAUUGCACAAUGGGCGCAAGCCUGAUGCAGCCAUGCCGCGUGUGUGAAGAAGGCCUUCGGGUUGUAAAGCACUUUCAGCGGGGAGGAAGGCGAUAAGGUUAAUAACCUUGUCGAUUGACGUUACCCGCAGAAGAAGCACCGGCUAACUCCGUGCCAGCAGCCGCGGUAAUACGGAGGGUGCAAGCGUUAAUCGGAAUUACUGGGCGUAAAGCGCACGCAGGCGGUCUGUCAAGUCGGAUGUGAAAUCCCCGGGCUCAACCUGGGAACUGCAUUCGAAACUGGCAGGCUAGAGUCUUGUAGAGGGGGGUAGAAUUCCAGGUGUAGCGGUGAAAUGCGUAGAGAUCUGGAGGAAUACCGGUGGCGAAGGCGGCCCCCUGGACAAAGACUGACGCUCAGGUGCGAAAGCGUGGGGAGCAAACAGGAUUAGAUACCCUGGUAGUCCACGCCGUAAACGAUGUCGAUUUGGAGGUUGUGCCCUUGAGGCGUGGCUUCCGGAGCUAACGCGUUAAAUCGACCGCCUGGGGAGUACGGCCGCAAGGUUAAAACUCAAAUGAAUUGACGGGGGCCCGCACAAGCGGUGGAGCAUGUGGUUUAAUUCGAUGCAACGCGAAGAACCUUACCUGGUCUUGACAUCCACAGAACUUUCCAGAGAUGGAUUGGUGCCUUCGGGAACUGUGAGACAGGUGCUGCAUGGCUGUCGUCAGCUCGUGUUGUGAAAUGUUGGGUUAAGUCCCGCAACGAGCGCAACCCUUAUCCUUUGUUGCCAGCGGUUAGGCCGGGAACUCAAAGGAGACUGCCAGUGAUAAACUGGAGGAAGGUGGGGAUGACGUCAAGUCAUCAUGGCCCUUACGACCAGGGCUACACACGUGCUACAAUGGCAUAUACAAAGAGAAGCGACCUCGCGAGAGCAAGCGGACCUCAUAAAGUAUGUCGUAGUCCGGAUUGGAGUCUGCAACUCGACUCCAUGAAGUCGGAAUCGCUAGUAAUCGUAGAUCAGAAUGCUACGGUGAAUACGUUCCCGGGCCUUGUACACACCGCCCGUCACACCAUGGGAGUGGGUUGCAAAAGAAGUAGGUAGCUUAACCUUCGGGAGGGCGCUUACCACUUUGUGAUUCAUGACUGGGGUG
rnacentral:rRNA from 1 species